rnacentral:rRNA from 1 species
CACAGAGAGAUGAUGACGAGGCUCUACGGAGCUGAAGUAACUGAUACCACACUUCCAGGAAAAGCCACUAAGCGAAAGGCUUUACUAAACCGUACUGAAAACCGACACAGGUGGUCAGGUAGAGAAUACUCAGGCGCUUGAGAGAACUCGGGUGAAGGAACUAGGCAAAAUAGCACCGUAACUUCGGGAGAAGGUGCGCUUACAGUAAUUGUAGUCCCUUACGGAUGAAGGUGAAGUAAGUCGAAGAUACCAGCUGGCUGCAACUGUUUAUUAAAAACACAGCACUCUGCAAACACGAAAGUGGACGUAUAGGGUGUGAUGCCUGCCCGGUGCUGGAAGGUUAAUUGAUGGUGUAAUCGAAAGAGAAGCACCUGAUCGAAGCCCCAGUAAACGGCGGCCGUAACUAUAACGGUCCUAAGGUAGCGAAAUUCCUUGUCGGGUAAGUUCCGACCUGCACGAAUGGCAUAAUGAUGGCCAGGCUGUCUCCACCCGAGACUCAGUGAAAUUGAAAUCGCCGUGAAGAUGCGGUGUACCCGCGGCUAGACGGAAAGACCCCGUGAACCUUUACUAUAGCUUGACACUGAACAUUGAAUUUUGAUGUGUAGGAUAGGUGGGAGACUUAGAAGCAGUCACGCCAGUGAUUGUGGAGUCAUCCUUGAAAUACCACCCUUUAACGUUUGAUGUUCUAACGAAGAUUGCGGAACGCGGUCUCGGACAGUGUCUGGUGGGUAGUUUGACUGGGGCGGUCUCCUCCCAAAGCGUAACGGAGGAGCACGAAGGUUUGCUAAUCACGGUCGGACAUCGUGAGGUUAGUGCAAUGGUAUAAGCAAGCUUAACUGCGAGACAGACAAGUCGAGCAGGUACGAAAGUAGGUCAUAGUGAUCCGGUGGUUCUGAAUGGAAGGGCCAUCGCUCAACGGAUAAAAGGUACUCCGGGGAUAACAGGCUGAUACCGCCCAAGAGUUCAUAUCGACGGCGGUGUUUGGCACCUCGAUGUCGGCUCAUCACAUCCUGGGGCUGAAGUAGGUCCCAAGGGUAUGGCUGUUCGCCAUUUAAAGUGGUACGCGAGCUGGGUUUAGAACGUCGUGAGACAGUUCGGUCCCUAUCUGCCGUGGGCGUAGGAUGAUUGAUUGGGGCUGCUCCUAGUACGAGAGGACCGGAGUGGACGCAUCACUGGUGUUCCAGUUGUCUCGCCAGAGGCAUUGCUGGGUAGCUAAAUGCGGAAGAGAUAAGUGCUGAAAGCAUCUAAGCACGAAACUUGCCAAGAGAUGAGUCAUCCCUGACUUUAAGUCAGUAAGGGUUGUUGUAGACUACGACGUAGAUAGGUCAGGUGUGUAAGUGUAGUGAUACAUUGAGCUAACAGAUACUAAUUGCCCGAGAGGCUUAACU